rnacentral:rRNA from 1 species
CGUAGGUGGCAAGCGUUGUCCGGAAUUAUUGGGCGUAAAGGGCGCGUAGGCGGCGCGAGCAGUCGGCGGUGAAAGCCCGGAGCUCAACUCCGGGUCGGCCGUCGAUACUCUCGUGCUUGAGCACUGUAGAGGCAGGUGGAAUUCCGGGUGUAGCGGUGGAAUGCGUAGAGAUCCGGAAGAACACCGGUGGCGAAGGCGGCCUGCUGGGCAGUAGCUGACGCUGAUGCGCGACAGCGUGGGGAGCAAACAGGAUUAGAUACCCUGGUAGUCCACGCCGUAAACGAUGGGCACUAGGUGCUUGGGGGAGCGACCCUCUGAGUGCCGGCGCUAACGCAUUAAGUGCCCCGCCUGGGGAGUACGGCCGCAAGGCUG